UACGUAGGGGGCAAGCGUUGUCCGGAAUCAUUGGGCGUAAAGAGCGCGUAGGCGGCCCAGUAAGUCCGCUCUGAAAGUCAGGGGCUCAACCCCUGGAUGCGGGUGGAUACUGCUGGGCUAGAGUCCGGAAGAGGUGAGUGGAAUUCCUGGUGUAGCGGUGAAAUGCGCAGAUAUCAGGAGGAACACCAAUGGCGAAGGCAGCUCACUGGGACGGUAUUGACGCUGAGGCACGAAAGCGUGGGGAGCAAACAGG
rnacentral:rRNA from 1 species